rnacentral:rRNA from 1 species
CACGUAGGAGGCGAGCGUUGUCCGGAAUCAUUGGGCGUAAAGAGCGCGCAGGCGGCUUGGCAAGUCGGGUGUGAAAUCCCGGGGCUCAACCCUGUGACUGCAUUCGAUACUGUCAGGCUAGAGGUAGGUAGGGGAGAUCGGAAUUCCUGGUGUAGCGGUGAAAUGCGCAGAUAUCAGGAGGAACACCGGUGGCGAAGGCGGAUCUCUGGGCCUUACCUGACGCUCAGGCGCGAAAGCUAGGGGAGCGAACAGG